AUGAGUCCCCUUCAUUACCCUGUGAUGACGCCGCCGCUGGUCGAGGUGUUGGCCCUGACGGCUUCAAGUGCAGAUGCGCAGCUUUGUGCUCCGGAAGCUGCUCCAGGUGCAGGCAGUGCAGAGAAGCCUCAAGGUCCAGGGAACUCCAUAGAACAUGUUGACCCGAAAACUCCUGGCUCAACUAAAAGGGGAGGCCACUUAUGCGAGCAAGCAUGGCAACCGAAAGACAUGCUGGCAAGAUAUAUACCAGAGCUAUGUUUGGGCAAUUCGGCCAUAUACUACAAGAGUGUGGUGCAUACCAGAUGGAGGAGAUUGAAAUAG
rnacentral:rRNA from 1 species